UACGUAGGGAGCGAGCGUUGUCCGGAUUUAUUGGGUUUAAAGGGUGCGUAGGCGGUCCUAUAAGUCAGUGCUGAAAUAUCCCGGCUUAACCGGGAGGGUGGCAUUGAUACUGCAGGACUUGAGUGAAGUCGAGGUAGGCGGAAUUGACGGUGUAGCGGUGAAAUGCUUAGAUAUCGUCAAGAACACCGAUAGUGAAGACAGCUUACUAGACUUCAACUGACGCUGAGGCACGAAAGUGUGGGGAUCAAACAGG
rnacentral:rRNA from 1 species